rnacentral:rRNA from 1 species
UACAGAGGUCUCAACCGUUGUUCGGAUUCAUUGGGCGUAAAGGGUGCGUAGGCGGUCGCGCAAGUCGGAUGUGAAAUCUCAGGGCUCAACCUGAACUGCAUUCGAUACUGCGUGGCUAGAGUGCUGGAGAGGAGACUGGAAUUUACGGUGUAGCAGUGAAAUGCGUAGAUAUCGUAAGGAAGACCAGUGGCGAAGGCGAGUCUCUGGACAGCAACUGACGCUGAGGCACGAAGGCCAGGGAGGCAAACGGG